rnacentral:rRNA from 1 species
CCUACGGGUGGCAGCAGUGGGGAAUAUUGGACAAUGGGCGAAAGCCUGAUCCAGCCAUGCCGCGUGUGUGAAGAAGGCCUUCGGGUUGUAAAGCACUUUCAGUGGGGAAGAAAGCCUUGGGGCUAAUACCCUCGAGGAAGGACAUCACCCACAGAAGAAGCACCGGCUAACUCCGUGCCAGCAGCCGCGGUAAUACGGAGGGUGCGAGCGUUAAUCGGAAUUACUGGGCGUAAAGCGCGCGUAGGCGGUCUGAUAAGCCGGUUGUGAAAGCCCCGGGCUCAACCUGGGAACGGCAUCCGGAACUGUCAGGCUAGAGUGCAGGAGAGGAAGGGAGAAUUCCCGGUGUAGCGGUGAAAUGCGUAGAGAUCGGGAGGAAUACCAGUGGCGAAGGCGGCCUUCUGGACUGACACUGACGCUGAGGUGCGAAAGCGUGGGUAGCAAACAGGAUUAGAUACCCCAGUAGUC